rnacentral:rRNA from 1 species
GACCGCCUGGGGAGUACGGCCGCAAGGUUAAAACUCAAAUGAAUUGACGGGGGCCCGCACAAGCGGUGGAGCAUGUGGUUUAAUUCGAUGCAACGCGAAGAACCUUACCUGGUCUUGACAUCCACGGAAGUUUUCAGAGAUGAGAAUGUGCCUUCGGGAACCGUGAGACAGGUGCUGCAUGGCUGUCGUCAGCUCGUGUUGUGAAAUGUUGGGUUAAGUCCCGCAACGAGCGCAACCCUUAUCCUUUGUUGCCAGCGGUCCGGCCGGGAACUCAAAGGAGACUGCCAGUGAUAAACUGGAGGAAGGUGGGGAUGACGUCAAGUCAUCAUGGCCCUUACGACCAGGGCUACACACGUGCUACAAUGGCGCAUACAAAGAGAAGCGACCUCGCGAGAGCAAGCGGACCUCAUAAAGUGCGUCGUAGUCCGGAUUGGAGUCUGCAACUCGACUCCAUGAAGUCGGAAUCGCUAGUAAUCGUGGAUCAGAAUGCCACGGUGAAUACGUUCCCGGGCCUUGUACACACCGCCCGUCACACCAUGGGAGUGGGUUGCAAAAGAAGUAGGUAGCUUAACCUUCGGGAGGGCGCUUACCACUUUGUGAUUCAUGACUGGGGUGAAGUCGUAACAAGGUAACCGUAGGGGAACCUGCGGUUG